rnacentral:rRNA from 1 species
AGCAGCCGCGGUAAUUCCAGCUCCAAUAGCGUAUAUUAAAGUUGUUGCAGUUAAAAAGCUCGUAGUUGAAUUUCGGGAUCAAUAUGUUGGUCGUGCCUCGGUACGUACUAGCUUAUUGGUUUCUCCUUUCUGGAGAACCAUGAUGUCAUUUAUUUGGUGUCGUGGGGAAUCAGGACUGUUACUUGAAAAAUUAGAAGUGUUUAAAGCAGGCUCACGCUUGAAUACAUUAGCAUGGAAUAAUGAAAUAGGACGUUUGAUUCUAUUUUGUUGGUUUCUAGGAUCGGCGUAAUGAUUAAUAGGGAUAGUUGGGGGCAUUAGUAUUCAAUUGUCAGAGGUGAAAUUCUUGGAUUUAUUGAAGACUAACUACUGCGAGAGCAUUUGCCAAGGAUGUUUUCAUUAAUCAAGAACGAAAGUUAGGGGAUCGAAGACGAUCAGAUA